rnacentral:rRNA from 1 species
GAAACUGCGAAUGGCUCAUUAAAUCAGUUAUGGUUUAUUUGAUGGUACCUUACUACUUGGAUAACCGUAGUAAUUCUAGAGCUAAUACAUGCAGGAGGUCCCGACUUCGGAAGGGAUGUAUUUAUUAGAUAAGAAACCAAUCCGGCUUGCCGGUUGCGUGCUGAGUCACAAUAACUGCUCGAAUCGAAUGGCCUUGCGCCGUCGAUGGUUCAUUCAAAUUUCUGCCCUAUCAGCUUUCGAUGGUAGGAUCGAGGCCUACCAUGGCGUUUACGGGUAACGGAGAAUUAGGGUUCGAUUCCGGAGAGGGAGCCUGAGAAAUGGCUACCACAUCCAAGGAAGGCAGCAGGCGCGUAAAUUGCCCGAAUCCUGACACAGGGAGGUAGUGACAAGAAAUAACAAUACAGGGCUACUUUAGUCUUGUAAUUGGAAUGAGUACAAUUUACAUCUCUUCACGAGGAUCAAUUGGAGGGCAAGUCUGGUGCCAGCAGCCGCGGUAAUUCCAGCUCCAAUAGCGUAUAUUAAAGUUGUUGCAGUUAAAACGCUCGUAGUCGGAUUUCGGGGCCUGCCUGCCGGUCUGCCGAUGGGUAUGCACUGGCAGGCGCGUCCUUCCUUCCGGAGACUGUCCCUACUCUUAACUGAGCGGGGUCGGGAGACGGAUCGUUUACUUUGAAAAAAUCAGAGUGUUUCAAGCAGGCAGCUCGCUCUUGCAUGGAUUAGCAUGGGAUAAUGAAAUAGGACUUUGGUGCUAUUUUGUUGGUUUCGAACACCGAAGUAAUGAUUAACAGGGACAGUCAGGGGCACUCGUAUUCCGCCGAGAGAGGUGAAAUUCUCAGACCAGCGGAAGACGAACCACUGCGAAAGCAUUUGCCAGGGAUGUUUUCACUGAUCAAGAACGAAAGUUAGGGGAUCGAAGACGAUCAGAUACCGUCGUA